UCGGGGCUGGACCGGUCGGGCUGACCGCCGCGUUGUUGUUGCGGCGCAGGGGGUUCCGCGUCGUCGUCGCGGA
rnacentral:tRNA from 1 species